rnacentral:rRNA from 1 species
UACGUAGGUCCCGAGCGUUGUCCAGAUUUAUUGGGCGUAAAGCGAGCGCAGGUGGUUUAUUAAGUCUGGUGUAAAAGGCAGUGGCUCAACCAUUGUAUGCAUUGGAAACUGGUAGGCUUGAGUGCAGGAGAGGAGAGUGGAAUUCCAUGUGUAGCGGUGAAAUGCGUAGAUAUAUGGAGGAACACCGGUGGCGAAAGCGGCUCUCUGGCCUGUAACUGACACUGAGGCUCGAAAGCGUGGGGAGCAAACAGG